rnacentral:rRNA from 1 species
AUUGAACGCUGGCGGCAUGCCUUACACAUGCAAGUCGAACGGCAGCACGGGAGCAAUCCUGGUGGCGAGUGGCGAACGGGUGAGUAAUAUAUCGGAACGUGCCCAGUCGUGGGGGAUAACGCAGCGAAAGCUGUGCUAAUACCGCAUACGAUCUCUGGAUGAAAGCGGGGGACUCGCAAGAGCCUCGCGCGAUUGGAGCGGCCGAUAUCAGAUUAGCUAGUUGGUGGGUAAAAGCCCACCAAGGCGACGAUCUGUAGCUGGUCUGAGAGGAUGAUCAGCCACACUGGAACUGAGACACGGUCCAGACUCCUACGGGAGCAGCAGUAGGGAAUAUUGGACAAUGGGCGCAAGCCUGAUCCAGCCAUGCCGCGUGAGUGAAGAAGGCCCUCGGGGUUGUAAAGCUCUUUUGUCCGGAAAGAAAAGCGCCGGGUUAAUACCCCUAGUGUCCUGACGUACCGGAAGAAUAAGCACCGGCUAACUU